rnacentral:tRNA from 1 species
CAAGGUAUAGCUCAAUGCAAAGCAUCCUGUUUACACCCGGAAGAUAUCAACAUUACUUGAUUACCUUGA